GUUGCCAAAUAGAGGCCACAUGGGCUGACAAGUAGAGGCCACCCGCAUGGGCUGACAAGUAGAGGCUGGCUGGGGUGGCAAGUAGAGAUUUGUUUCUCCUAUUAUGUCACCCUAUGCAGGAAGGGGAGACCAGAACUCCAAUUUCUAUAGAUUACUGAAGCGCAAAGCAGGAACUACAAUCCUAUACAAUUCAAAUCUGAGGAAGCAGUCCAAUCCAGAUCUCCCUCCUCAAAACUGGAAAACCCACAGAUAUUUCCAAAGGUUCCAUUCAAAGUGAGAGCCUUAGGGUAUUAUGGAGCUGCAGGUCCGGGUGGGUGCAAUCUCCCAGCAAAACCUACUGUAUUUCAGCUCCUGUAAGUGGAAGUGAGUCAGUCAAGAAUUACCAGCAGAGAGAACAUAUCUCCAGUCAAGAAAGUAGAGAUGGAGAACACCAGAAUCAGCAUAGAAGAUGGCAGAUCAGUUGUGGAGCCAAUCACCCAGAUCAAAGAAGAAGAGAGCAAGUUGAGGAUCCAGCAUGUGCCCACAGCAGCAGUGGACCCCAUGCUCUUGUAUGUGGGUCCACUUGACCACCCUGAAGUUGUAUGCCAAAGUUAUAAACUAGGCUCAUGGUCAUGUUUAUUUUCAGGUGCUAG